rnacentral:rRNA from 1 species
UAAUACUGAGGGUGCAAGCGUUAAUCGGAAUUACUGGGCGUAAAGCGAGUGUAGGCGGCUUCGUAAGUCGGAUGUGAAAGCCCCGGGCUUAACCUGGGAAUUGCAUUCGAUACUGCGCGGCUAGAGUCUGAUAGAGGGAAGUGGAAUUCCUGGUGUAGCGGUGAAAUGCGUAGAUAUCAGGAGGAACACCGGUGGCGAAGGCGACUUCCUGGACCAAUACUGACGCUAAGGCGCGAAGGCGUGGGGAGCAAACAGGAUUAGAUACCCUGGUAGUCCACGCAGUAAACGGUGAACACUAGGUGUAGCGGGUAUUGACCCCUGCUGUGCCGUAGCUAACGCAUUAAGUGUUCCGCCUGGGGAGUACGAUCGCAAGAUUA